rnacentral:rRNA from 1 species
UCCUAGUACGAGAGGACCGGAGUGGACGCAUCACUGGUGUUCGGGUUGUCAUGCCAAUGGCACUGCCCGGUAGCUAAAUGCGGAAGAGAUAAGUGCUGAAAGCAUCUAAGCACGAAACUUGCCCCGAGAUGAGUUCUCCCUGACUCCUUGAGAGUCCUGAAGGAACGUUGAAGACGACGACGUUGAUAGGCCGGGUGUGUAAGCGCAGCGAUGCGUUGAGCUAACCGGUACUAAUGAACCGUGAGGCUUAACCUU